GUCUACAGCCAUACCAUUCUAACAGCUCCUGAUCUUGGAAGCUAAGCAGGGUCAGACCUUGUCAGUACUUGGAUGGGAGACCACCUGGCAAUGAUGGAUACGGUAGUCU
rnacentral:rRNA from 1 species